ensembl:lncRNA
AUUAUGCAACUAUUAAAACUAUGAGGUAGAUACACAUAAACUGACUUAAGAGAUCUGGGUAACCAACCUGAUGGUUUGUCUGGAGCUAGGGGUUGGGGGUAAAGCACUCAUAAGAUCCUCAGUGCAGGAGAUUCCUAGACAAACCUGGACCAAUCGGUUACUCUAGAAGGAUCUCUAAUCUUGUUAUGCAAUGAAAGCAACUUUUCAUAUUGGUGCUGUGGUUCAAACCCAGGUUUUCCAGCAUGCUAGGCCAAUAUUCUACCACUGAGCAAUAUCACCAGCCCCAGCCCAGUCUGACUUUUGAUACACAGCCCCCAGCCAAUGAACGUUAUGAGUGAAACAAAAGAAAACACAUGAAGGCUCUAAAAAAUGAAUAAGGUGACUCUGCUCCACUUGGUGACUUUCUGGUUUUAAAAAGCAGGAGUGGGGAAACCAUCUGGAUCCAAAGCAAGUGCUGAGAGACAAUUUUACCUACAUAAAGGAUUCAAAGAGACAGCUGGCCAGAGUUUCAAGAUAAUAAGAAUGAAUAGCAAACUGAGACCUAGUUUCUCUUAAG